rnacentral:rRNA from 1 species
CCUACGGGGGGCAGCAGUGGGGAAUUUUGGACAAUGGGGGAAACCCUGAUCCAGCCAUUCCGCGUGAGUGAAGAAGGCCUUCGGGUUGUAAAGCUCUUUUGUCCGGAACGAAACGGUCGUGGUGAAUAUCCGCGACUACUGACGGUACCGGAAGAAUAAGCACCGGCUAACUACGUGCCAGCAGCCGCGGUAAUACGUAGGGUGCGAGCGUUAAUCGGAAUUACUGGGGGGGUUGCGUGCGCCGGCGGUGAAAUCCCCGGGCUUAACCUGGGAAUGGCAUUUGGGACUGCAAGGCUUGAGUAUGGCAGAGGGGGCUAGAAUUCCUGGUGUAGCAGUGAAAUGCGUAGAUAUCAGGAGGAAUACCGAUGGCGAAGGCAGGCCCCUGGGUUAAUACUGACGCUCAUGCACGAAAGCGUGGGGAGCAAACAGGAUUAGAUACCCGAGUAGUC